rfam:Equus caballus chromosome 14, whole genome shotgun sequence.
CCAAUGGCUCUCCUCAGAGCCCCCUCCACUACCAAGAGAAGAGCUGU